rnacentral:rRNA from 1 species
CAUUACAGAGUUCAUGCCCUUCGGGGUAGAUCUCCCACCCGUGUCAUCACACCUUUGUUGCUUUGGCGGGCCCGCCUCGGCCACCGGCUCCGGCUGGUGAGCGCCCGCCAGAGGACCCCAAACUCUGAAAUUUAGUGUCGUCUGAGUACUAUAUAAUAGUUAAAACUUUCAACAACGGAUCUCUUGGUUCUGGCAUCGAUGAAGAACGCAGCGAAAUGCGAUAAGUAAUGUGAAUUGCAGAAUUCAGUGAAUCAUCGAAUCUUUGAACGCACAUUGCGCCCCUUGGUAUUCCGGGGGGCAUGCCUGUUCGAGCGUCAUUACAACCCUCAAGCUCUGCUUGGUAUUGGGCGUCCCCGGCGACGGGGUGCCCUAAAAUCAGUGGCGGUGCCGUCUGGCUCUAAGCGUAGUAAAUCUCUCGCUCUGGAUGCCCGGUGGAUGCUCGCCAGAACCCCCCAUUUUUACAGGUUGACCUCGGAUCAGGUAGGGAUACCCGCUGAACUUAAGCAUAUCAAUAAGCGGAGG